rnacentral:rRNA from 1 species
GAUGAACGCUGGCGGCGUGCCUAAUACAUGCAAGUCGAGCGAACAGACGAGGAGCUUGCUCCUCUGACGUUAGCGGCGGACGGGUGAGUAACACGUGGAUAACCUACCUAUAAGACUGGGAUAACUUCGGGAAACCGGAGCUAAUACCGGAUAAUAUAUUUAACCGCAUGGUUCAAUAUUGAAAGACGGUUUUGCUGUCACUUAUAGAUGGAUCCGCUCCGCAUUAGCUAGUUGGUAAGGUAACGGCUUACCAAGGCAACGAUGAGUAGCCGACCUGAGAGGGUGACCGGCCACACUGGAACUGAGACACGGUCCAGACUCCUACGGGAGGCAGCAGUAGGGAAUCUUCCGCAAUGGGCGAAAGCCUGACGGGGAAACGCCGCGUGAGUGAUGAAGGUCUUCGGAUCGUAAACCUCUGUUAUUAGGGAAAAACAAAUGUGUAAGUAACUAUGCACGUCUUGACGGUACCUAAUCAGAAAGCCACGGCUAACUACGUG